GUCUUAGUACAGCCAAGUAAUGGGCGAGACCGCGAACUGCUCAUUAUAGCAGUUUUAAUUCCUUUGUUGACUUGAAACUUCGGUCUCAUUGGAUAACUGUGGCAAUUCUAGAGCUAAUACAUGUCUACAAUUAAACAAAUCCCAGUACCUACGGUCGGGAUGCUGUUGCUGGUCUAAAAACCUUUUCAUGACAGGACUUAAGUAUAUAWAAUUUAACUUCAAUUAGAGUUAAGUUCUGUUAAUACAAUUUAAAUGAGUCUAAGUAACUCAGUUAAGCGCAGUCUUUGUUACUGCUGCUGCUACUUUCAAGUGUCUGUCUUAUCAGCUACACUGUAUGCUAUGUGUGUACUGUGGCGGUAACGGGUAACGGGGAAUCAGGGUUCGAUUCCGGAGAGGGAGCCUGAGAAACAGCUACCACAUCCAAGGAAGGCAGCAGGCGCGCAAAUUACCCACUCCCGGCUUGGGGAGGUAGUGACGAAAAAUAACAAUGUGAGACUCAUCAGAGGCUUCGCAAUUGGAAUGAGUACACUUUAAAUCCUUUAACCAGUAUCCAUUGGAGGGCAAGUCUGGUGCCAGCAGCCGCGGUAAUUCCAGCUCUAAAAGCAUAUAUUAAAGUUGUUGCGGUUAAAAAGCUCGUAGUUAGCUUUCAGUUUUGGACUGAUGGCGUUUUACUGCCAGUGUAUGCCAUCACGCUCCUAAGCUGCUAAACAACCCAACAAGUUGUGUGCUCCGCCAGCUCGCAUGGGAUGCUCUUAACCGAGUGUCCUGAGUGGCUGGCAUGUUUACUUUGAAAAAUUAGAGUGCUUAGAGCAGUUUUACCGCCUGAAUGGAUUUGCAUAGUAUAUAAACAGACCUUGGUUCAUUUAUGAAAAGUUUCAUGAGACUGAGAUAUGAUAUAGAGACAUAAGAUGCUUUCAUUAAUCAAGAACGAAAGUUAGAGGUUCGAAGGCGAUCAGAUACCGCCCUAGUUCUAACCAUAAACGAUGCUAACCAGCAAUCCGUCGGGGUUAUUUCAAUGACCCGUCGGGCAGCUUCCGGGAAACCAAAGUCUUUGAGUUUCGGGGGGAGUAUGGUUGCAAAGCUGAAACUUAAAGGAAUUGACGGAAGGGCACCACCAGGAGUGGAGCCUGUGGCUUAAUUUGACUCAACACGGGGAACCUUACCAGGCCCAGACACUAGAAGGAUUGACAGAUUAAAAGCUCUUUCUUGAUUCAGUGGGUGGUGGUGCAUGGCCGUUCUUAGUUGGUGGAGUGAUUUGUCUGGUUAAUUCCGAUAACGAACGAGACUCUGGCCUAUUAACUAGUCGACGGAUACAUUGUUGUCCAGUUCGCAACUUCUUCUUAGAGGGAUAAGCGGUAUGUCCUAGCCGCAUGAGAUUGAGCAAUAACAGGUCUGUGAUGCCCUUAGAUGUUCUGGGCUGCACGCGCGCUACACUGAAGGGAUCAAUGUGUUUUCCUUCUCCGAGAGGAGAGGGUAACCAGAUGAACCCCCUUCGUGAUAGGGAUUGGGGCUUGCAAUUUUUUCCCAUGAACGAGGAAUUCCCAGUAAGCACAAGUUAUCAUCUUGUGUUGAUUACGUCCCUGCCCUUUGUACACACCGCCCGUCGCUACUACCGAUUGGAUGAUUUAGUGAGGACCUUGGACUGCAGUCUCAUGCAAUGGAAUCUAUCAUGUUCUUGCCUGCAUGUAGCCGACAGAAAAUUGUCCGAACUUGAUUAUCUAGAGGAAGUAAAAGUCGUAACAAGGUUUCC
rnacentral:rRNA from 1 species